UCCGUCCUACGGGACGCAGCAGUGAGGAAUAUUGGUCAAUGGGCGCGAGCCUGAACCAGCCUAGCAGCGUGAAGGAUGACUGCCCUACGGGUUGUAAACUUCUUUUAUGAAGGAAUAAAGUGAGGCACGUGUGCCUUUUUGUAUGUACUUUAUGAAUAAGGAUCGGCUAACUCCGUGCCAGCAGCCGCGGUAAUACGGAGGAUCCGAGCGUUAUCCGGAUUUUUUGGGUUUAAAGGGCGCGUAGAUGGGGUGUUAAGUCAGUUGUGAUAGUUUGCGGC
rnacentral:rRNA from 1 species